rnacentral:lncRNA from 1 species
AUCAAUUGGGAGAAAAUAGGGUUGAUUGGAUAGAUGCAAGACAAAUGUUUGGCAUUUAACUCUAGAUAAUUUACUUUUAAUAUUCAAGGGAGUCUCUCGAAUUCACUUGGCUAUUAGGUCAAUUGUUCAGCUCCAUUAUCAUAACCCAAAUUUAAAAAUUCUCUGCCUUCUCUCUAGGAAGAAGGGUGAAUAGUGAUUCCGACAAUAUUCAUCGACCAUUUUUCGGCGGUGGAUGCUAGCAAAAUUGGUGUCAAUAUAAUCCCCUUCUCAUUGCGAUCAAUCCUCUCUUAUUUUCUUAUCAAAAUCCUUAACCAUCUCUUCAAGAUCUUGAUUUGAUUUUACAAAUCACUGUAGCUCGAAGA